GUCCUUUCUGUUCUGUUCUGAUGUUGCUCGAUCAGCUCCUGCAACAGCCAUUUUCUGUAUUUGUUGAUGUUGAGCUAGUUACAAACUGAGCUGCUUUGUUUAUUUACCGAGCAGUGGUAGAGACGUUUCAAGUUCCUGUUAUUGGUUACCCCACUGCUCCUUUACUCUGAUUUAAACCAGAGGAAUGUGACCAGAAUGUAAUAAAAACAAAGCCUGCUAAGGCACUUGAGAGAUUUCAUGCUUAAAAAACAAACUGUCUUUACAGGUUCUUAUUGGUGCCCCUUUGCUGUAAUGGGGGAAGUUUGACAACAGAAACUCACAGGUGUUGAUGUCAAGAAUAGAAACGAGGGCCAUUGCUCCUAUCCAGCAGUAAGUAUGUUGGAAGAACAGACUAAGGAAGGAGCUAAUGAUACUCCUGGCCCAAAAGAAGAUCAAGUCCUUUUUCAGCGAAUAAUUUGACCUGAAUUAAAUCCUUCGCUGUUAUAACGUGGUCACAAAAAACAUGCCAAGGACAGCCAAGAACAGGAGAAUCAUUUCCAGAAAGGCUUCCUUAUGCACAGCUUUUACCUGUGGCUUCAUGUGAAGAGCUCGAAGGGUAAGAAGUGUUCCCCUACAGGUGAGUCGGGUGGCACCUCAACAGGUGAAACAUCACGCUCAAGGUCAGUAAAUGAGCCUGUGGCAAAACUAGAAGAGAAGCAGUAGAGGUGAAUGUAAUAGGGAUGCAGCCAGCUGCCUUGCUGCAGCUGUGCUCGGGGAACAUUGAUCAUAUUUUGUUGAUGCAAGUGAACUUCUCCAGACAGGGAAUAGCACAUAAAACCAAACCAUUUAUCAGCUGUUAAGAGAAAUGAGCUGUAAAAUGUUAGGCUGUCACAACUGUAAUGCAGGCAGCAAUUAGUUAGCUUUGAAGGGGGGAUGUUUCUCCUCACUAUCCUUCUUGUGUGUUCCUAUAAAGCUUUGGUCCUAUGGAAAGCUAUUUCCAAGACUCUUACCUUGGAGAGUGUGUAUUCUGAUAAUAGAGCAUUUCAGUCUGGAAGCACUCCCACCACCUUAUUAAAAAGUAUAAUGCAAGGAUAUUUCCAUCCUGACAUGUUUCUGGAUGCAGAAACAUCUCUUAGCUAAACCCCUAGAGGCCUGGAAUGAGACAUGUAUGGUCUCACUACCUGCAGCAAAACUUCUGUGCCAUUGAAUGCAACAACAAAACUCUGGCUAUAAGUAAAAUAAAAACCGUUCUGUUCAGAAACUUUUAGAGAAAGGCAAAUCCAAAAGCCCAGUCUGUGGGGAGAUGAGUAUAAAUCUGUCCUUGUUCCAGCUGUCAAUCUAUUCACACUGAGUUGCACAGUAACAGCGAGGGUGGAGUAAAAACAGCAGCAGUGUACCUCAGAAACUGCUGAUUCCCAUCUUUAGCUAGUGGCACUCAAAGUGAUGACAAAACAGAAUCACAGCACCAUAAAUUCCUAAGAUCAGCCAGGUUUGGAAAUACCUUCAAGGUCACCAGAUCUUACCACCAACAUGGCUUACUGAGUUCCAACACUGAGCCCUGUCCACUAGUGCCAUGUGUCCUGAAGGCCUCUAGGAAUGAGGACUCCACCACUUCCCAGGGCAGCCCAUUUCCAUGUUCGACCAUCCCCCUCUAUGAAGAAAUUCCUCCUGUUAUCCAAUCUAAACCUCCCUUUGGUGCAAGCUGAGACCAUUUCUCCACAUCCUAUCAUUUGUCACCUGUCUUAACGAGAUGGGUAAAUUGAAGAAGGAGAGGGAUUUUUUAGUCUGGAGGGGAGGAGCUCAGGAGAGACGUUAUAGCUCUCUAUAAAUGCCUGAAAGGAGGUGAAAUGAUUCUAUGAUUGGUGUUUAUCAUGUAUCUCAGCUACUAAAAACAACUGCCAUUCUUCUCCCAUUCCGUCCCUUGUUCUUGCCAGUGUUUUACUCACUGAAGCAGCAGCAGUACCAAAGCUGCAAGGAAAUAUUUAAACACUAAUUAACUUUUUAAUUCUGUGUGUGGGCAGGCACUUUCUAUCCCCUGGAGCACAACUGAUUUUCGAGGUAUUUAUUUGGGCUUGCAGGGUGUUUGCACACUGUGUGCGCUCCCUGUGUAUGUGUUGGUAUGUGUGUGGGAUGCUGCCGGCUGUAUCUGCCCGCAGCUGAGCCUGUGUGACAUUCCCCUUAGAGCAAGCGAGUUUUCCAAUACAAAUGUGAAAAACCCAACCCUUUCCUCUGCUUUAUUUCAGCUGCUGGAUGAAAGCAGAUCACACUGCUUCCCCAGCAAGCCAUCUGUGUGACAGUACCCCAACCAACACGCGCCAGUCCCUCGGGCUGCAGUGAGCUGGUGGUGAUCAUCUGGCACAAACUCACCCCGAAGCAAUCACCCCAUGAGGUUUUCCUCUUCGAUUUUUCCAGUGAACUGCAAUCUGUGUGGUACUGCUGCAGCUAAUCUCAUUUUCCCUGGGAGGUGGUUCGGCGUGCGGCUACACUUUGAGUUAGUGGUUAUUAAAGCUGCGUGCCUUUCCAUACUUCCUUCUGCUCAGCUUCCUCUUCCACAAGAGAAGAGUGAUAUUGCCGUGAUGGAGGGCAAUAUUGAGGCUCUAGACUGCAAACGUGUAUAAAAUGGGCUCAGGCUGUGUGUUUCUCUGCAUGUUUCACAGCAUUGAUCUUGCUGGAGAGCCAUUUGGACGGAGCUCCCAGACAUAUAGAACCACUGAAUCAUAGAAUCGCUUGAGUUGGAAGGGACACUUAAAGACCAUCAAGUCCAGCCCCCCUGCA